UAACUGGAGGACCGAACCGACUAAUGUUGAAAAAUUAGCGGAUGACCUGUGGCUGGGGGUGAAAGGCCAAUCAAACCGGGAGAUAGCUGGUUCUCCCCGAAAGCUAUUUAGGUAGCGCCUCGUGAAUUCAUCUCCGGGGGUAGAGCACUGUUUCGGCUAGGGGGCCAUCCCGGCUUACCAACCCGAUGCAAACUGCGAAUACCGGAGAAUGUUAUCACGGGAGACACACGGCGGGUGCUAACGUCCGUCGUGAAGAGGGAAACAACCCAGACCGCCAGCUAAGGUCCCAAAGUCAUGGUUAAGUGGGAAACGAUGUGGGAAGGCCCAGACAGCCAGGAUGUUGGCUUAGAAGCAGCCAUCAUUUAAAGAAAGCGUAAUAGCUCACUGGUCGAGUCGGCCUGCGCGGAAGAUGUAACGGGGCUAAACCAU
rnacentral:rRNA from 3 species